CCUUGAGCUGUGGUGGGCUCCACCCAGUUCGAGCUUCCCUGCUGCUUUGUUUACCUAAGCAAGCCUGGGCAAUGGCGGGCGCCCCUCCCCCAGCCUCGCUGCCGCCUUGCAGUUUGAUCUCAGACUGCUGUGCUAGCAAUCAGCGAGACUCCGUGGGCGUAGGACCCUCUGAACCAGAAUGUGAUUUUGAAGAAAGGAGGAAAGAUGUGAAAAGUGAUUGGUCAGCCACAUUCAUGGUGUUGAGAAAAGAAUUUGCUUUUCUGGAACAUAGCCUGUGAUAGCAGAACAACACCUGGCAAGAAACAGGUUAUGUUUGGCUGGAGAGUCAUUGGCACUAUCAAGAAAUAUUAAAGUGUAGAUUUGAGAGAGGAGGAGAAAGACCCAAGCAAAAUUGAAAACCAGGUGGGACCCAGACAGCAGCAAAGCAAUGGAAGCAUGUAUUUUGGUCAAUAUAGAGUUAAUACACAAUUUUGCCCCUCUUCUUCUGAUCAUGGGACUCAUAUUACCAGUCUUCACAUUUCCUUUAAAUUCAGGAAUCAGGAAGAAUUUCCAGAGUUUGCAGAUGGACACAUUUGCUGCUUCCAUUCUAAACAUAAGUUAGAAGAACCUUUCAACUGGAUUCCAACUUUAAUAUGUCACAAACAUAAAAAAGAAAGCUAUUUCCUGGACUUUUCUUCAUUAGAAAUUAAUAGAUUGUCAAUUGGCAUAGGGAAAAGAUAAUCAACAGAUGCCAACCCCAAGUUAACAGAAAUGCUAAAAUUAUAAGACAAAGACUUCAAAAUAGCUAUUUUAAUUUUGCCUAGUGAGGUAAAUGCAAACAUGCUCACUAUGAAUGAAAACAGGUAAUCUCAGCAGUCAUGUAAACUAUAAAAAUAAGCAAAUAUAAAUUUUAGAAUUAAAACACAAUAUCUAAAAAUAAAUUCACCUGAUAUUCUCAAUAGAAAAAAUGGUAAUGCAGAGAAAAAUGUAUGAAAAUAUGGCAAUUUGAAGAAGAGAGAAGAGAUCAAUAAAAUAAAUAAGUAUAUCCUUGGAGACCUGUGGAUGUUUUUUGAAAAGUGAAUCAUGUAAGUAAUUGAAGUCCCAGAAGAAAAGAAAAGAAGAGGAUGAGCAGAAAAAAAUUUCUGAAAAAAUAUCUGAAAGCUUAAACACUAUAAUGAAAGACACACAUUUACAAACUCAAGAAGUUUAGUAAACCAAAAACAAUAAAAUCAAAGAGAACUGUGCCAAGCGACAUCAUUUUCAACCUGCUGAAGAUCUUGACAGCAGUCAGAGAAAAAAGACACACUUAUUACACAGAGAGGAACAAUACAUUAAAUACUAGCACACUUCUCAUCAGAGAUCAUUAAGCCCAGAAGACAGUGGAAUGAGAUCUUUAAAGUGCUGAAAUAAAAUAAAUGUUGAUUAAAAAAUUCUAUAGCU
rnacentral:lncRNA from 10 species